UACGGGGGGAGCAAGCGUUGUUCGGAUUUACUGGGCGUAAAGGGCGCGUAGGCGGCCACCGCAAGUCGACUGUGAAAUCUCCGGGCUUAACCCGGAAAGGUCAGCCGAUACUGCGGGCUAGAGUGCAGGAAGGGCACUGGAAUUCUCGGUGUAGCGGUGAAAUGCGUAGAUAUCGAGAGGAACACCUGCGGCGAAGGCGGGUGCUGGGCUGACACUGACGCUGAGGCGCGAAAGCUAGGGGGAGCGAACGGG
rnacentral:rRNA from 1 species